rnacentral:rRNA from 1 species
GGCAUGGAUUAGGCAUGCAAGUCGAACGAGAAAGGGUUCGCAAGGACCCUAGUAAAGUGGCGAAAGGGUGAGUACUACCUAGGUAACCUGCCCUGAAGACGGGAACAACAGUUCUAACGGACUGCUAAUACCCGAUAUGACGGCGAGGUCGCAUGAACUUGCCGGGAAACGGUAGCCUCUGUUUACAAGCUUCCGCUUCGGGAGGGGCCUCGGGCCUAUCAGUUAGUUGGCGGGGUAACAGCCCACCAAGACUGGGACGGGUAGCCGGUCUGAGAGGAUGGUCGGCCACACUGGGACUGAGACACUGCCCAGACUCCUACGGGAGGCUGCAGUCGAGGAUCUUCUGCAAUGGGCGCAAGCCUGACAGAGCGACGCCGCGUGGGGGAGGAAGGCCUUCGGGUUGUAAACCCCUGUUGCCGGUUAAGAAUGGUGGGGCGCAAAUAGCGUUCUCACUUGACAAAGGCCGGUGAGGAAGCCACGGCUAACUACGUGCCAGCAGCCGCGGUAAGACGUAGGGGGCAAGCGUUGUUCGGAAUCACUGGGCAUAAAGAGCACGUAGGCGGCUGGGUCAGUCGGAUGUGAAAUACCUCGGCUUAACCGAGGAACUGCGUCCGAUACUGCCUGGCUUGAGGUCCGGAGGGGAGAGUGGAAUUCCCGGUGGAGCGGUGGAAUGCGUAGAGAUCGGGAAGAACGCCGGCGGCGAAAGCGACUCUCUGGUCGGAAUCUGACGCUGAGGUGCGAAAGCUAGGGGAGCAAACGGGAUUAGAUACCCCGGUAGUCCUAGCCAUAAACGAUGGGCGCUAGGUAGUGGUCGUUCCUAUGCGGUCACUGCUGGAGCUAAUGUCUUAAGCGCCCCGCCUGGGAA